CCUACGGGUGGCAGCAGUGGGGAAUAUUGCGCAAUGGGCGAAAGCCUGACGCAGCGACGCCGCGUGAGGGAUGAAGGUCUUCGGAUCGGUAACCUCUGUCAGCAGGGAAGCACGGUCAGUGUGCUAAUCAGCAGUGAAUUGACGGUACCUGCAAAGGAAGCACCGGCUUACUCCGUGCCAGCCGCCGCGGUAAUUCGGAGGGUGUGAGCUUUAAUCCGAAUUACUGGGCGUAAAGCGCUAGUAGGAGGGAUGUCAAGUCAAGGGUGAAAUCCCCGCGCUCCACGUGGGAACUGCCUUUGAAACUGGCAACCUGGAGUGUGUGAGAGGUUAGUGGAAUGCCAGGUGUAGGAGUGAAAUGCGUAGAUAUCUGGAGGAACAUCAGUGGCGAAGGCGACUAUCUGGCACAUAACUGACGCUGAGGAGCGAAAGCGUGGGUAGCAAACAGGAUUAGAUACCCCUGUAGUC
rnacentral:rRNA from 1 species